CGAGUCCAAUCGUUAGUUCAUUUACACACUCGCGUAGCUUUCUACACACACGCGUAGCUUCUAAUACGAUCGAGAUCCAAUCAUUACGUAAAUAUUAUUACAUGAGAUACAUUUUUAUUACAAUAUUUUGGUACAUAUAUCUUCUAAUACCAAACUGGAAUGAUAAUUUAGCUGAAAAGACAAACAAAAGAAAACUCAAAUUUCAUAAACAUUAAGUAGUUUUACAGGAAAACAGAAGGAAGAAAAGCACGCUAAGGAAGUUUUUGCCAUUUACUCACAAACUUCGCAGUGUUUCCAUUUUCCUCAAUGUAAAGUCCAUCAUUUUUAGCAACAAAUGAGAGUAAUCCUUUCUUACAUGGAAGAUUUGAAAAGCUUGUUCUCACCAAAAUACUAUAA
rnacentral:lncRNA from 1 species